GAUGAACGCUAGCGGCAGGCUUAAUACAUGCAAGUCGUGGGGCAGCAGGGUAGCAAUACCCGCUGGCGACCGGCAAACGGGUGCGGAACACGUACGCAACCUUCCUUUAACUGGAGAAUAGCCCCUCGAAAGAGGGAUUAAUACUCCGUAACAUACUGAUAAGGCAUCUUAUUAAUAUUAUAGCUCCGGCGGUUAAAGAUGGGCGUGCGACUGAUUAGAUAGUGGCGGGAACGCCACCAAGUCUGCGAUCAGUAACUGGUGUGAGAGCACGACCAGUCACACGGGCACUGAGACGACGGGCCCGACUCCUACGGGAGGCAGCAGUAAGGAAUAUUGGUCAAUGGACGCAAGUCUGAACCAGCCAUGCCGCGUGGAAGGAUUAA
rnacentral:rRNA from 1 species